rnacentral:rRNA from 1 species
ACUCCUACGGGAGGCAGCAGUGGGGAAUAUUGCACAAUGGGCGCAAGCCUGAUGCCAGCCAUGCCGCGUGUGUGAAGAAGGCCUUCGGGUUGUAAAGCACUUUCAGUGGGGAGGAAAGGUUGAUGGUUAAUACCUAUCAGUUGUGACGUUACCCACAGAAGAAGCACCGGCUAACUCCGUGCCAGCAGCCGCGGUAAUACGGAGGGUGCAAGCGUUAAUCGGAAUUACUGGGCGUAAAGCGUGCGCAGGCGGUCUGUUAAGCGAGAUGUGAAAGCCCCGGGCUCAACCUGGGAACUGCAUUUCGAACUGGCAGACUAGAGUCUUGUAGAGGGGGUAGAAUUCCAGUGUAGCGGUGAAAUGCGUAGAGAUCUGGAGGAAUACCGGUGGCGAAGGCGGCCCCUGGACAAAGACUGACGCUCAGGCACGAAAGCGUGGGGAGCAAACAGGAUUAGAUACCCUUGUAGGCUCUGC